AGCAGCAGCCGCGGUAACACAGAGGGUGCGAGCGUUAAUCGGAUUUACUGGGCGUAAAGCGUGCGUAGGCGGCUUUUUAAGUCGGAUGUGAAAUCCCUGAGCUUAACUUAGGAAUUGCAUUCGAUACUGGGAAGCUAGAGUAUGGGAGAGGAUGGUAGAAUUCCAGGUGUAGCGGUGAAAUGCGUAGAGAUCUGGAGGAAUACCGAUGGCGAAGGCAGCCAUCUGGCCUAAUACUGACGCUGAGGUACGAAAGCAUGGGGAGCAAACAGGAUUAGAUACCCCAGUAGUUCCUGUCUCUUAUAC
rnacentral:rRNA from 1 species